UGCAGUCAGAGAGGAUGGAGAGGAAUGCAUCUUGACGAGCGUCCUGUCGGAAGCAGAAGUAGUAAUCCCUACGGUACGGAAGCCUGAGUAGGCAGGUUUGAACAGCCUUUGGGACAGACUGUAUUUGCAUUGGAAUUCCACUGGACAAGUAGAAAACCUAGAGAAUCCAUAGAGACUGAAAGAAAGUUGAUGAUCCCAGUCCUAUCUCAUGGCAGUUAAUAAGACUGUCAUUAGAGCGUCCUGCUCACCUCAAAGCUGUCGUGACACUCCAGGCAGUGGUUGGCGCGAACCACCAUGUAUCUCUCCUU